rnacentral:rRNA from 1 species
GAUGAACGCUAGCUACAGGCUUAACACAUGCAAGUCGAGGGGCAGCAUUUCAGUUUGCUUGCAAACUGGAGAUGGCGACCGGCGCACGGGUGAGUAACACGUAUCCAACCUGCCGAUAACUCGGGGAUAGCCUUUCGAAAGAAAGAUUAAUACCCGAUGGUAUAAUUAGACCGCAUGGUCUUGUAUUAAGAUUUCGGUUAUCGAUGGGAUGCGUUCCAUUAGGCAGUUGGUGAGGUAACGGCUCACCAAACCUUCGAUGGAUAGGGGGUUCUGAGAGGAAGGUCCCCCCACAUUGGGAACUGAGACACGGUCCAAACUCCUACGGGAGGCAGCAGUGAGGAAUAUUGGUCAAUGGGCGCAGGGCCUGAACCAGCCAAGUAGCGUGAAGGAUGACUGCCCUAUGGGUUGUAAACUUCUUUUAUAUGGGAAUAAAGUGGAGGACGUGUCCUUUUUGUAUGUACCCUAUGAAUAAGCAUCGGCUAACUCCGU